AGACCCGAAACCCGGUGAUCUAGCCAUGGGCAGGUUGAAGGUUGGGUAACACUAACUGGAGGACCGAACCGACUAAUGUUGAAAAAUUAGCGGAUGACUUGUGGCUGGGGGUGAAAGGCCAAUCAAACCGGGAGAUAGCUGGUUCUCCCCGAAAGCUAUUUAGGUAGCGCCUCGUGAAUUCAUCUCCGGGGGUAGAGCACUGUUUCGGCAAGGGGGUCAUCCCGACUUACCAACCCGAUGCAAACUGCGAAUACCGGAGAAUGUUAUCACGGGAGACACACGGCGGGUGCUAACGUCCGUCGUGAAGAGGGAAACAACCCAGACCGCCAGCUAAGGUCCCAAAGUCAUGGUUAAGUGGGAAACGAUGUGGGAAGGCCCAGACAGCCAGGAUGUUGGCUUAGAAGCAGCCAUCAUUUAAAGAAAGCGUAAUAGCUCACUGGUCGAGUCGGCCUGCGCGGAAGAUGUAACGGGGCUAAACCAUGCACCGAAGCUGCGGCAGCGACACUGUGUGUUGUUGGGUAGGGGAGCGUUCUGUAAGCCUGUGAAGGUGUGCUGUGAGGCAUGCUGGAGGUAUCAGAAGUGCGAAUGCUGACAUAAGUAACGAUAAAGCGGGUGAAAAGCCCGCUCGCCGGAAGACCAAGGGUUCCUGUCCAACGUUAAUCGGGGCAGGGUGAGUCGACCCCUAAGGCGAGGCCGAAAGGCGUAGUCGAUGGGAAACAGGUUAAUAUUCCUGUACUUGGUGUUACUGCGAAGGGGGGACGGAGAAGGCUAUGUUGGCCGGGCGACGGUUGUCCCGGUUUAAGCGUGUAGGCUGGUUUUCCAGGCAAAUCCGGAAAAUCAAGGCUGAGGCGUGAUGACGAGGCACUACGGUGCUGAAGCAACAAAUGCCCUGCUUCCAGGAAAAGCCUCUAAGCAUCAGGUAACAUCAAAUCGUACCCCAAACCGACACAGGUGGUCAGGUAGAGAAUACCAAGGCGCUUGAGAGAACUCGGGUGAAGGAACUAGGCAAAAUGGUGCCGUAACUUCGGGAGAAGGCACGCUGAUAUGUAGGUGAAGUCCCUCGCGGAUGGAGCUGAAAUCAGUCGAAGAUACCAGCUGGCUGCAACUGUUUAUUAAAAACACAGCACUGUGCAAACACGAAAGUGGACGUAUACGGUGUGACGCCUGCCCGGUGCCGGAAGGUUAAUUGAUGGGGUCAGCGCAAGCGAAGCUCUUGAUCGAAGCCCCGGUAAACGGCGGCCGUAACUAUAACGGUCCUAAGGUAGCGAAAUUCCUUGUCGGGUAAGUUCCGACCUGCACGAAUGGCGUAAUGAUGGCCAGGCUGUCUCCACCCGAGACUCAGUGAAAUUGAACUCGCUGUGAAGAUGCAGUGUACCCGCGGCAAGACGGAAAGACCCCGUGAACCUUUACUAUAGCUUGACACUGAACAUUGAGCCUUGAUGUGUAGGAUAGGUGGGAGGCUUUGAAGUGUGGACGCCAGUCUGCAUGGAGCCGACCUUGAAAUACCACCCUUUAAUGUUUGAUGUUCUAACGUGGACCCGUGAUCCGGGUUGCGGACAGUGUCUGGUGGGUAGUUUGACUGGGGCGGUCUCCUCCUAAAGAGUAACGGAGGAGCACGAAGGUUGGCUAAUCCUGGUCGGACAUCAGGAGGUUAGUGCAAUGGCAUAAGCCAGCUUGACUGCGAGCGUGACGGCGCGAGCAGGUGCGAAAGCAGGUCAUAGUGAUCCGGUGGUUCUGAAUGGAAGGGCCAUCGCUCAACGGAUAAAAGGUACUCCGGGGAUAACAGGCUGAUACCG
rnacentral:rRNA from 1 species